AAUCAACGCUGGCGGCGUGUCUCAGACAUGCAAGUCGAACGAUUAAGACUUCCUUCGGGAAGUGUAUAAAGUGGCGCACGGGUGAGUAACACGUAAGUAAUCUACCUUCGAGUGGGAAUAACGUUCGGAAACGAACGCUAAUACCGCAUAAUGCAGCGGCAUCGCAAGAUGACAGUUGUUAAAGGAAUUUAUUUCGCUUGAAGAGGAGCUUGCGGCAGAUUAGCUAGUUGGUAAGGUAACGGCUUACCAAGGCUACGAUCUGUAUCCGGUCUAAGAGGACGGUCGGACACACUGACACUGAAUAACGGGUCAGACUCCUACGGGAGGCAGCAGUCGGGAAUUUUGGGCAAUGGGCGAAAGCCUGACCCAGCAACGCCGCGUGAAGGAUGAAGUAUUUCGGUAUGUAAACUUCGAAAGAAUGGGAAGAAUAAAUGACGGUACCAUUUAUAAGCUCCGGCUAACUACGUGCCAGCAGCCGCGGUAAU
rnacentral:rRNA from 1 species